CCCACAGCAGAUUUUAUAUUUGCCUCAGCUGAUUAAUCAGAGGUUCAGUUCAGGCUGUGAUUACCAAUUUCUCAUACAGAGCUGAACACAGUUUUGCAGAAGUGCAUGAUCUGCUGUACAAAACUGAGAAGGGACCUGCUAGACUUCUGAACUCUGAUGAUGAUUACCGAACAGUGUACCCAAAUCAAAAUAUCCUAGGUUCCAGUCCAUCUCAUACAUGACAGAAGUUGUGGGUGCAGACUAUAAAGCACAAGCAGCACUAAGGAGGAGAAACUGGGUUGUUUGAACUAAGGAAUCCUAUCUGUACUGGAGCCUGGUCUCCUCCGUGAACACCAAGUUUUGAACACCAAGACAUCUGGCUGCUGGGAUACAGUCUAGGCUCACAGGAAAUGAUUCAUCAAUAUCUCGAACUGCUCCUUAGGCCAGAGCUUGGGACAUCAAAAAGAGACAAUGCAGAGAGGGAGGGAGAUUCUACCCUGAAAGAAGUGUCCUGCAGCUUUGACUCAGAUUGCUAUUUUGCUGUUGAACAACAAUAUUCAUCUGUGAAUUUCAUGCACCAUCUGUGACAUCCAAUUGGAAAAAAAAAAAAAGAGUUUGGCAGCUUUUAAUUGUUCAUCUAAGUCUUUGAAGUACCUCUGUUACAUUACACUAGCACAUGACUUUAGUAUGCAGCUCAUCUGCCUCACACUGGGGCAAUAUUUUGGGUAGUUUUCUUCUAAAACUGAAUAAUUCCUGUCCUAUUUACAAUUAAUUUCAUCAAAAGAUUCAGAAACAUCUCACAUUUAGUUUGAAAAUCUUUCUUUUCUCCCAGUAAGCCUUGAGCCUUGCCUUAAAAGCAAUUAAUAGUUCUACAAGUUGUGGGGUUUUGUUUGUUUGUUUUGGGUGGUUUAUUAUUAUUAUUCUUAUUAUUAUUUGCUUCUUUUCAGUCAAGGACUUGAAUCAGUGAUAAAGACUGCUGCCAUCGUGUUCAUCCUGAAAUGUCAAGGAAAGUUGAUUGAGUUGCUAGGACAAGUGAUGCGUCACAUAAGUGAAGGAGAGCAGAUCAAAACUUUUUUUUCUCUAGCAAGUCUGUUGGAAUAACAAGACUGAAUCAAGAAAUAGUUUUAUGGAGUUUUAAUUUCAAUUGGAAGAAGUGAAAUACCUUUCAUAUCAGGAAGACUGGAUGAACUUCAGCUUAUAAUUAUUUAACCUCAUUUCUAGUUUUAUUCCUGUGACCAACAGCCAUACUAUUUUUGCUUACAUGCUAAAGGACUGUUAAAAGUCCUCAAUUAGGAAUUACUUCUUCGUUAUAUUCAUUUGCUACAUUUACUUAAUAUAGCAUACUUCAGGGGAGUGACUGGUAGAUGGCAUUAAGGGUGGGUAGUGAUGGUUUGAAUGUUUGUUUUUUCUUUGUUUGCAAUGCAAAAAACUGUGGGACACGUUGGAGAAGGUAACUUGGAAAAAGCACUCUGUAAGUGUCAAUGUAGACACUGUUUUAUUGGUAUGUUAGGCACCUAUGCAAAACUCACAGCAAGACAGAGUUUAUAUCUCUAUUAGUAUGCAUACGCAAUGAACACUUCUUGGGGUGUCUGGUUUAUAGAGAAGUUAAAGCAUCCUUUAAGAUGACAUGUUAAAAAUGCCUCUCUGUCUAAAAAAAGAAGAAAAAAACCCAAACUGUUAUCUAAGGAUGACAGCAAGUGUAAAUUGUGAAAAGCUCCACAGAAAGUGUGAGAAACAUGAUCACAAACAUCUAUGGAAGGGAACAAGAGCAAAUUUUCUUACUUUGGAACAACUGUGUUACUGAUACUGCAUUUCUACUUGUAAGAAACACAAGAGGGAGUCUCAUGACAGGCAGAUGAUGAGUGUGCAUGCAAGGGGGGGCCAUCUUUCACAGAGUGACAGAUGAGACAGCAGGAAACUGCCUAGAGCCAGUGAACCCUUUGAUGGAGAAUUGGUGCCUCUUGCCCAGGGCUCCAAGUUGCUUUAAAGGUAAGCUCAGAAAGCUUUAAAAGACAAAGUGCAACAUCAUUGCCAAGUCUCUUCGCAAAGGAUUGCUGGACUCUGAAAGGUUUGCUGUGAAAGACAAGUGCUUCAAAGAUUUGGGUCUCUGGAGAAAGCUAAGGAGGAGGAUCUAAAACACCUUACCUGAUGACUGGAAAAGGUGAAAUACAUCUGAGGCAGGUUUAAUGUUUGAUAUUGCUAUCUGAAUUUUGGGCCUUGGAUUAAAAACAAAUAUUCAUAUGAGAUUUGACUCUGUGGAUGAUAUGGACUGUUCUCUGGUAGUUACAGGUUUCUUUCACCCCUUUUUACUGUUGGCUGCUCAGCACCAAUUAGUGGUAUGCUGUCAGGACUGCUUUUGAGUUCCAAAGAUUUCACAGUGACUUUCCAGACUUCUGCUUUCUCUCCAAAGCAGGGAACAGAUAAUUCCCCCUUAAGAAAUAUGUUUUAUAAAAGCUUGUUUUGUCAAUGAUUAAAUGGAAGGAAAACAGAUAAAACUGUUUCCUCUGCAGCUAUACAGAUACAAAAUUAAUUUACCAAUCAAAACCAGCAUUGUGAAAAUGUUACUGAUCAGCAAAGGGGCAGCAGCACUGUGAGAGGUGAAGUGUGUGAGAUGGGAAACCUUGUACCAAGCAGCCCCAUGCUUCUCUUGGCUUUCUCAGUUCAUGAAACAAACACAGCAUGUAUAUUCCUUAAAAGUGAGCCCUUAAAUCUAUCACAUACACUAUUUUCACAGAGUUGUGCUUUUCUUUAAACUAUCAAGAUCAUUGGGAAUAUAAAAGGUCUACUUUAGCCUUGAAGCUGCCCUGCUUUUUGCUGUAUGAGUAUAUUUAUAGAUAUAUAAUUCAUACCUCUGGGGUUGAUCUCCAGUAAGAGUUCUCUGCCACUGGAAAACACAGCAUGUUAAAAAUUUAAUAGAAGUCUUAUGAACUGUAAGGAUGUUGUGGGUGAAUCAUGAACGCAGAGGGCACUAAAAAUGGGGAAAAACAGAAACUGAAAAACUGUAGCAGCUGCCAGCUUUCAUCUUCACAGCCACAACUGCUUAACUGGAGACUCAGGAAGCAAAGUGAUAGAGUAUAAUGGGUGCACAAAGAUGAACUCUUGACUGGUGUUGAUAAGGGACACACCCUUAACGUCUCUUUCUUUUCCAGCUGUAUUUGAAGAGCUUUUAAAUUAUAUCCAAAUUCUGCAGCCAAAGUUUGUCAUUUGUAUAUUCUUCUUAUGUUGCUCCUAUGAAAUUUGACUUUUUUUAGUAUGACAUACUUGUCAUAGAAAAUAAUUCCUUACUUUUUCCCCUCUGAAUCAAAGCAAUAUCAGUGGCAAUAAUUUCUUAUUAAAUUACUGAGUUCAUAAAGUUCUCUCUUAUGGUGUUAUACUUAAUUCUCCUUUGAGCCCUCUGAGAAUGAGAAGGGGAAAAUAUUCACAGGAUGUUAACACAAAGCCUAGCAGAUGAACCUUCUUAAUAUUAUUUUCUACCCUUUGCAGUCUGAUUUAAGUGCAAUUGACAGUCAGUAGUAGAGAGCGAAAUAUAUUUUCCACAGUUGAAUACUGCAUCAUUUCAUCUUCUUUUCUUCUGGUGUGCUCAGAGUGAUUAAAGGUGUAUUUCUUGCAGUGGAGUUGAUCAUUUUUGCAAGCAGAAUCUCCUGUUUGGGUGUUGGACACUGAGUUGCUUUGAACCAAAUGGAAUAUGCUCUUGUCCACUUCCCAUUAUUAAUUUGAACUCUCAUGAUUAAUUGGUGACAGCUUCCUACACAGUUAAAUAAUUUGUGCUGAUUUCAGCAUCAGUUGUUGAAGGGACUUGCAAAGUUGAACCUAAGAUACCUUCUAAGUACUUAGCACAGCAUUAACAUGCAGGAAUGCUAAGUGUGCUUUUAAAAGAAUACAGUUUCUUACUUUUACUGAAAGCUCAUUUUUGUUUAAAGAAAUCAACCCAAGUCUCUUCUGAAAAUUUCUGGACAUAGUUUUCAGUAGGGAAGUAUCUGCCAAAUGUAAUUUUUCUGGAAGAUACUAGCAAGUUUGAUACUAGUUAUGAUGAGUGUGUUUACCUGGAAAGAGUACACUUGAGAGUAUCAGUUGGAUUGGACAUUAGGCAGAUGGUCAGCAAUCAGAAAAUUAAUAGAAAUAAAACACUUCCAUUAGAAUAACAUAGGAAAGAUGUAGAACUGCAAUAAGAAGACCUUGAGAGCUACUGAAAUGCUUAAGAAGUCUCAUUGGUUUUCCUUUGAACUAAAAACUACAGCACUGGGCUACAUACAAUUUAAGUAUCUUGAAAGAAAGUAGCUUUACUGGUUUCUUUUUGGGAAAGGAGGAGGGGAAAGAAAGCUAGAUAGACUGAUAAAGAAUAGGAGUGAACUACCACAGGUUCCUUUACCCCCUCCUAUGCAGAAUGCAAUCCGGCAAUAGACAAUACACAAAGAGCACAUAACACAAAAGCAAAUAGAAACUGAUUCAAAAAUAAAUAAGUGAACUUAUAUACUUUUUCCAAAACAAAAUCAUGUACUAGAAAAGAAA